UACGAAGGGUGCAAGCGUUACUCGGAAUCACUGGGCGUAAAGCGUGCGUAGGUGGUUUGUUAAGUCUGAUGUGAAAGCCCUGGGCUCAACCCUGAAACUGCAUUCGAUACUGCGUGGCUAGAGUGCUGGAGAGGAGACUGGAAUUUACGGUGUAGCAGUGAAAUGCGUAGAUAUCGUAAGGAAGACCAGUGGCGAAGGCGAGUCUCUGGACAGCAACUGACGCUGAGGCACGAAGGCCAGGGGAGCAAACGGG
rnacentral:rRNA from 1 species